ACAGCAGCAGCCACGGGAACACCGAGGAUGCAAGCGUUAUCCGGAAUGAUUGGGCGUAAAGCGUCUGUAGGUGGCUUUUCAAGUCCGCCGUCAAAUCCCAGGGCUCAACCCUGGACAGGCGGUGGAAACUACCAAGCUGGAGUACGGUAGGGGCAGAGGGAAUUUCCAGUGGAGCGGUGAAAUGCGUUGAAAUCGAAAGAACACCAACAGCGAAAGCACUCUGCUGGGACGACACUGACACUAAGAGACGAAAGCUAGGGGAGCAAAUGGGAUUAGAGACCCGAGUAGUCCCUGUCUCUUAUACA
rnacentral:rRNA from 1 species